UGUUAUGUGGCUUAGUUGGUCAAAACGCUGGACUACUGAUACGAAGUCGUGGGUUCGAAUCCCACCAAAACAA
rnacentral:tRNA from 1 species